rnacentral:tRNA from 1 species
GUCUUCGUGGCCCAAUGGAUAAGGCAUCCGCCUACGAAAGCGGGAGAUUGCGGGUUCGAGUCCCGUCGAAGACU